rnacentral:rRNA from 1 species
GGCAGCAGCUAAGAAUAUUCCGCAAUGGACGAAAGUCUGACGGGGCGACGCCGCGUGGAUGAUGAAGGCCGGAAGGUUGUAAAAUCCUUUUAUGACUGAGGAAUAAGUGAAGUGAGAGAAACGCUUCAUGGUGACUGUAGGUCAUGAAUAAGCAACGGCUAAUUACGUGCCAGCAGCCGCGGUAACACGUAAGUUGCGAGCGUUGUUCGGAAUUAUUGGGCGUAAAGGGUAUGUAGGCGGUUCUGCAAGUCUGGUGUGAAAUGCCGGGGCUCAACCCCGGAACUGCGUUGGAAACUGCAGGACUUGAAUCGCUGAGGGGCAGCCAGAAUUCCAGGUGUAGGGGUGAAAUCUGUAGAUAUCUGGAAGAAUACCAAUGGCGAAGGCAGGCUGCCAGCAGAUGAUUGACGCUGAGGUACGAAGGUGCGGGGAGCAAACAGGAUUAGAUACCCUGGUAGUCCGCACAGUCAACUAUGUACACUGGGUGUCCGCUCAUGAGAGUGGGUGCCGAAGCAAACGCGAUAAGUGUACCGCCUGGGGAGUAUGCCCGCAAGGGUGAAACUCAAAGGAAUUGACGG